GCCACCGUGUCGGAGGCGAGGCGAGGAAGGGAGCUGGAAUAACAAAGGCAAGUUGGGGAGAGCGCAAGGGGGCGCAGCCCCGGCCGGGCUGCGGGGGGAGCCUUGCACGGCCGGGGCUUCGGAGGCUGCAGGGUCGGGGGCGCGGGGAGCCGGAGGUGGGGGAGGAAGGGUGGGGGGAGAGGGGCGGGGCUGAGGCGUGACGUCAGAGAACAAUGACACCGCCGGGGGGCGGGCACCCGGAGGCGGCCCAGGCGGGGGUCUCCCCCGGGGCCUGGGGCGGGCCGAAGAUGUCCAGGCCUGGCCGGAGCCGCCUCCUGAUUGACGAGGCCCGCAUGGGAGUGCGGACGUGCAGCACAGAUUUGCGGGUCUCCUGGGCCUCUUGGGCGGUGAUCAGCGCGGACCUUGGGCCAACCGGGGAAGCAGGCCGGAGCACUACCCCCCACCCCCAUUUUAGAACAUCCUUCUGAGGGCUUCGCUGACCUCGGCUUGAACUCCUUCAGAGCCGGAGAGAUCACUCCUUCCACCACCGAGGGAGAGGAGGCAAAAUGAAUUUGCCAGCUUUGAAUUCAUUCUCAAGGCUCCGCUAGUCUCACAGCCAGUGAACUCAGUCUGGAAUUCCUGAAAGCUCAGAAAACUGCUGCUUAGGUCCACCCGGGCGUGGGGGACGGGGUGUGUGGGGGCGCAGGCGGCGGAGUGGGGGCGUUAUUUUAUUUUCCCCAGGGGAAAUUCUGCCUCCCUAUGCCAUUGGGUGCAAGAAAAGGCACUCCUUUGGGGCCUCAGUCUUCCUACCUGUCACAUGGACAUGGACUGUGAUGACUGCUGCUCUUCCACCCCCGCCCUCCCUGUAGGUGGCAGCUGAGCAUCCCUGGAGAGGGUGGGUGGUAUGAAAGCACUUCCAGACCUCUAGGGACACCAGGGAGUCAUGGUCCCAGCACAUUGCUGUGUGAUUGAGCCCCUCCUCAGCCUGUGGGUGGCCUAAGUUCACAGGUAGGUACACCAGGGCCACCUGAGAAACCUCCGAAGGUAGGAAUUAAGCUUGCAGAACGGUGGCUGCAGCCACAGCUGUCCCACUCCCAGCAAUCCACAGCAUUGCAGCAGUGGCAGCAGCCACCCCAUACCCAGGUCCAAAAUCCCAAAAGAGAGUUUCUGGGUAUUUAAGGAUUUGGGAUGUGAUAAUCCAGCCCAGCCCACAAUUAGACCAGUUCUUGUUGCCUUAAUGACCAGCUAGGUCUGGACGCCCAGCCCUCUCAACCUUUCUGUCCAGAUUCCUCAAUAAGUAUCCAGGGCCUGCCCACUUCCAGGAAUUGGGGGAUGCAGGUGACCUCGGAGGUGACCACUCAUGUUCAAAGUCUCCUGUCCAGAAGCUCCACCCCCUACCCCACAUCCCAGCCCCCUACUCUCCCACCAGUAUUUACAUCUGAAACCCAGGAAGUGGCUGCAGAGGGCAGAGGAGCCAAGUAGGCUCAACUUAGUAGCAUGGAACCAGGGAUCAUUUCAACCCUCCCCUUCUGUGCAAGCAUGGCAGCAAGUCAGAAAGCCCACCAGGGUCCUGGGUCUUCCCUAGGCUCCAGUCCUUGGGUCUCUGAGGCCCUUGCUCUCUUUGUUCAUCUUCCAGGGAGGUAAUGGGGUAGAUUGGAUACCUCUGGGGUCUUGGAAGAAGCUAUGACUUAUUUACUGUCUACUAUGUGGUGAGUACUGUGGUGGGUCCUCCUAGGUAUUGAGAAUUCAGUUCCCUGAUUGAACUGUCACAUUGUCUUAAGUUAGGUGCCGCUACCAUCCCCCUUUCAGAGGAAACUCAACUGUGAAUGACUUGCCCAAGAUUGGUCAGGAUGGGAACUCGGGCCCCCAUGAACAGAGUUUCCUGUUGUCCCCUCAGCCCUGGCUCUGUUCAUCCAUAGACUGUGUAGCCCCAAGCAAGCUGCUUUCCCCCUCUGAGCCCCUGUAAGGUCCAUGGUGCCAUCAGGACUCACUGGGAACUGUGUGUCCAACAACCUCACCCCCAAAGUCUCAGCCUCACUGGGCCUGGAGAUCUGCUGGUGAGACAAGAGAGGACAGUGCCAUCACUUCCUCGUGGCCCAGAGCUGGAAGAUGCAUCCUGCUCAGCCCCUGCAGGCCCAGAAGUCACCUGGCUCCACUAGGAGGGCAUGGGCAGUGUGGGGCCGCCAGGUUGUACCAACCUUCAGAGCACACUCAAGUGCUGUUAAUUUCCCUGUCCUGUGGGAGCCACCAGCAGAUUGGGGAGAGGACCAUUGCUGGGGCCUGGGCCCAGGUUUCAGGAGGCAGAAAAUCUGGAGGCCAGCAGGAUGGUGGGGGUGGGAGGCUUGAGGUCCCUGAGGGAAGCAAAGGACUUGUGUAGGGUGCGGCGAGUAUGGCCUCCUAGGCUGGGCUGGGAUGGGGGCGGGUACACAGUGGGGAUUCCCACCUGUCCAGGAGCUGCCUUCUCUGUCCCCACUCUCCACCUCUCACUUCUGGAACUUAAGGGAGCCAGGGAACAUCUAAAAUUGAGACUAGAGAGGUGGGAAGAAAAUCUCAUUCAUUGAGUACUUACUGUAUGCCACGCACUUUGGAAACAUUCGUUGUAUUCUCUCCACAAGCCAGGUGUCAUUCCCUGCUAAGGGAAGAGGCUCAGAGAGGUUAAGUGACCUGCUCAAGAUCUCAUAGCUGGCUGAGCAUGGUGGCUCAUGCCUGUAAUCUGUGCACUUUAGGAGGCCAAGGCAGGGUAGAUCACUUGAGCUCAGGAGUUCGAGACCAGCCUGGGCAACAUAGCAAGACCUUGCCUCUACAAAAAAUACAAAAAUUAACCAGGCAUGGUGGCACAUACCUGUAGUCCCAGCUAUUUGGGAAGCUGAGGUCGGAGGAUCACUUGAUCCUGGGAGGCUGAGGCUGUAGUGAGCCAUGAUUGUGCCACUGCACUCCAGACUGGGCAACAGGGCAUGACCCUGUCUCAUAAAAACGAAACAAAACAAUAAAGAUCUCAGAGCUGCUAAGUGGGUGGAGCCGAGAUUGGGCUCCAGGUUGGGCUGGGCCUUGAGGUUGAGAAUAGGGACUUGCCCUCAUCUCACUGCCAGGUUAUGGUGCAGAUAAGGUAACCUACCAGGUACUUUGGGGUGAAGUAAAGACUCUCACCCACUUGCCAGGGAAUGACCAGGGUGCCUCCCAUGGCAGUGAGGUAAUGGAGAUUACAUUUAGAGUUCACCCCUUGGUGGAUACAGGAAGCAUUUGGGCCCUGCCCAGCUCUGAGCCCUGUGCCUCUAAGAGGUGAGUGGUUGGGUCAAGCAGGGAAGAUCUAUGUCCUUCAGCGAAUUAGGCUCCCCUGCUCUGCCUCCCCCUCAUUUCCAAUCAGAUGGCCCCUCCAUUCUCUGAGCCCACACCUUCCCAUCCUCCAAGGCUUGACUCUCCAAUGUCCUUCCCUCAAGCCAGCCGUCUUCUCACUUUCUACCAUGGAGUUCUGCCCUAUGGUUCGAGACCCAGUUCAACCACCAACCCCUUCUUCAGAUGGGAGUCACAAGAGAAUAGGCUGGGAGCCUGCCUCAGGAGCCGGGACACCUAUGUGCCCAGCCCGCCAUUGCCUGACUUGCUGUGUGGCCUGAGCACAUCACAAACUCUCCCUGUGCCUGUUCCCCAUCUGCCAAGUGAGAGAGUGUGGGAUAUCCACCAGCACUUUUGCCUCUGAUUGUCCUAAGAUUCUGUAGGUCUGAGCCUUUAACCCUUGGACUGAGCUACAGUUCACUUUAGAGUUUGAGGGCGGCCCUGCUUUAGGGAGGGCUUUCAGAGGGGGCCAUUUAGUGGAGUAGGGACAAGAAAAUACCUGGAGGGAGCUGCUCAGAACUGUGACUAUCUAGGACUGUGAAUAGGUAAUGACCCUAACGCCUCCCUUCAUGAGGCACCUCUCACCCUCUGAGCCUCACAACAGCCCUUUUGUGGGUGACUAAGCUGAGCCCCAAAAGGAGGUGAUGGCUUUCCCUGACUGCACCACUGGGAAGCACCAGAGCUGGAACAAGAGCCAGGUCUCAGCCAGGCAUGGUGGCACAUGCCUGUAGUCCCAGCAACUCGGUGGGGGGACAAGAGGGGGUGCAAGAGCCACAUCUCCUCAUGCAGUGUCCCCUCACCUGCGUCAGGGCCCCUCCAGAGGAGCAAGUACAUGCGGCACUGAUGAGGAAGUCUGGGACAAGCGACCUGAGGAGGACCAUGCCUCCCACUUCCUUCCUGAUAGCUCCUGCACCCCGAGAGGGGUGGGGGAAGGUCUCAGAUCCUCAGCAUCUCUCCUCCUUCUGGCUGUGCAGUCCUCCAGCCUCAAGACUCAUGCUUCCUUGCCCUCACCUCAUCCUGUGGCCAUGCAGGGUGACUUCCAGAAUUGCCAGCAUUAUGUACAUACUCUUACCUCUGUGCCAUUGCUCAUGCUCUUCCUACCUCCUGGGACACACCCCUCCCAGUCACCAAGGCCACAUCUGCAACCACUUGCUUGGAAGCCUACCCUGAUACCUCCACCAGAUGUGCCGUCUUCCUUGUCUUAACCCCCAUAUGCUGCUCUCCCAGCCUCCAACAUCAGCAUAACCAUAGGAAUUACUUGUGAAGUUCCUGCUAUGUUCCAGGCAUUGAGUAGCUCAUACACAUGAACUCCUCCCAUCCUCUGAGCUAUUAGUAUUCUCAUUUUACAGAUGAGGAAACUGAGGCACAGGGAGUUUCAUUUCCUAGUAUGACACCUCACAGGCUAGGGAGGUAUUGUGUUACAUGGCCCUCUUCUGUCAAGGCUGCAGGUCAUAGGAUGGCUCACUGCUACAUCCCAUCACCCAGUGCAAGGCCUUGGGGGCUGACAGGCCAUCCGGAGCAGGGGAGGUAUAGAGGCCCACAGGAUGGAGGAUGACCAGAACCAGCCCUCUGGGGGCUCACAGUCUCUCAGGAAGGACUGCCCACACCAAAUGCCAUUCUUUUUUUUUUUUUUUUUUCUUGAGACAGAGUUUUGCUCUGUCGCCCAGGCUGGAGUGUGCAGUGGUGAGAUCUCGGCUCACUGCAAGCUCCGCCUCCCAGGUUCACACCAUUCUCCUGCCUCAGCCUCCCGAGUAGCUGGGACUAUGCCACCAUACCCGGCUAAUUUUUUGUGUUUUUAGUAGAGAUGGGGUUUCACCAUGUUAACCAGGAUGGUCUGCAUCUCCUGACCUCAUUAUCCACCCGCCUUGGCCCCCCAAAGUGCUGGGAUUAUAGGCAUGAGCCACCGCACCCGGCCACCCAAUGCCAUUCUAAGAGUUCGGGGAAGAAGAAGAGUUGGCAUUGAGUGGGUCCUGGAAGGCAAGCUCUGGUGGGGCUGUGGGGAAGCCAGAGUGGGGCAUGGACCUGCCUAAGGUCACACAGCAAGCAAGUAUGAGACAGCAGCAGGGCUGGGACCUGGAGCUCCCAGUGUAUCAUGCCUUCUUGCACCUUGCAGCCAGCUGUGGGGCCCCUGCGACUGUGCUGUUUUCAAGGACACACGGUCCCAGAUGCCUCCACAAUUCUGAGCUGUUCAAUGAGUGGCUCUGGUCCUUCUCCCCCCUCUAUUAAAAUGGAAAAAAGAAAGAAAGAAAGAAAGAAAUCCAGGCAUUGUUCCUGACUGCAGCUGGUGCCAACCAGAAUCCCACUGAACAGAAUGGAGCCGAGAGCCCGGCUGCCCAGGGGCCUGGCUGCUGACACAGGGCCUUUCUAUUUUGCUUUCCACUGGGGGCCCAGGCUGACGGUGCAGCCCCUCCACGGACACCCUCUCCACCUGCCUCCCUGGCCCUGGCUCUGAGCCUCCUGCUGCCUUCACCCUCUUUGCAAAAAUCAGAUGGCACUUGGGGGAGGGUUGGAGGAGCACCCCCACCCCCUGCUUUCCUUCUUCAUCCACUCACAGCCUGGGGUGCGCUGGGCCUCCCUCCCCGCCAGCCUGUCCUCCCACCCUACCAGGAGGGGACUUGGGAUGCUUGUCUGGGAGAGCGACACAAAUCCCUCUUCCAAAAUCGUUUGAAACACUUGUCUGAUUCUAGGACAUAUGAGGAUUUUCCACCCCACCCCCACCUGACUUGGCAGGUGCCAGUCCUCAGCUCACACAUUAAGGCCUCUUGCAAUAGUGAAGGUCUUGUGGGGGAAAGGGGAACAUGAUGAACAGCUCUACAGAGACAAAAACAGUUUUUUAAGUUGCUAGUUUGCCUUCUGCCUUUGGUCUUAGGAGGAAAAAGGACUUCUCCAACUCUCCCUUACCAUCUUCAUUUCAUCCUCUGCUUCCUGCCCCUUUCGUGAGCUGUCUGGUACUCAGACCUCCUCUCCACAGGCUAUUGGCUAGUUUGACCCAGAUUACCCCAAGCAGCAGUUCUAAGAGAGCAGCAUCCUGGCCACUGUCCAGUGUCCACCAGGGACCCUUGGGUUGGCACUGCCACCACAGCCAGCUCUCCUGGCACCCCCUUCCUCCUGUGGACACAGCUCUUUAGUUUGUAAAAAGUACUUGACGUCUCACGCAAGUGCCACAGCAGCCUCAAGAGGCAGGCAGGGAUUGCUAACCCACUUCGUAGAAGAAUAAACUAAGGGUUCAGGAGGCAUAAUGGUUUGGCCAAGGUCAAAGGAGGUGACAGAGUUGGGAUUUGAACCCUGGUCUCUUGAUUCCAUGUCACUAAGCUGCAGUGGGGACUCAGGAAGUGACGGUGUCAGAGGAUGACAUUCCCAGCCCCCACCACCUCCACCCGACCAAAUGCUGCCAGGAGACAGGAUCUCAGACACAUCGAUUCCUUUAAGGAAUAUUUAUUAAAUACUUGCUGUAUGCCAGAUCUCCAACAGUGAACAAAACAGAUUUGGUCCACACUGCUGCAGAGCUUAUAUUCUGAGACAGACACCAGACUUCGUGCAGAAAGAUCCCCCUCUUCCUAGUUGCCCAGCCCAUAUGUCCUAGAAGGAACCGUGAGAUGGGCAGCCAGAGACAUAAGUUCUAGUCCUAGCAUUGCCCCUGACUCUCCAUGUCACCUUGGACCGAGUUUUCCACCUGAGAAAUCCAAGCAUGUGGCCCCUCACACAUUUUCUCAGGUCUCUUCCCUACUCCCAGUCUCUGGGUCUAGUGGUUCAUGAUUUCCCGGCAUGAAUUAUCCUGAUUUAGUUUUUUUUCUUAAACCCGACUUUUCCUAGGCUCUUAGAGCCAGAACAGGGCUUCUGAGAUCAUUUGCUCUGAGCCCUUCACUAAGAAAGAACCCCUUAGCCUCGUUCCUGCCAGGAGGAGACUGUCUUUGCUUGUACUCUUCCAGGGACGGGCUGCUUGCUCCCUCACAUAGCAGACCUCUGCCAGUGGUGUGCUGGUAAAUGUUUAACAGCUGGCUCCCCAAAGUGGGGAGAACCUGGUUUGUAGUAUUUGCCGAUGUCUACGGUGUAAAUACCCCCACCAUGGCCAGUUUCAAGCUGCCGACCAGAGCCAGCUGGCACAGCUGGUUGGUUCCAUCAACCAGCUCGCGCAGUUCCUGAAAAUUUAACAAUCGGCCCUUGUGAGCCAUAUGAACAGGCUCCAACACACCAUUUCCCCUGCCCCGCAGAGAAGUCUUGUCUAGCUUUACUCAUUGGGAAGUUCUUUCUGGUAUUGAGCAAAACAUCUGAUUGUCAGGAACUCUGGCCUGAAAGUCCUGAACUACUUCUCUGGGGUGUCACAGGACAAUGGGGACCCCAUGAAGGCCUUCUCUAAUUGGUGGCAGCUCUUGACUAUGUCUUCCUGUGAGAGGAGCAAGUUCCUGGGCCAAAUGGGGUCAGAGCAUAGCCACCCUCCCAUUCUGCCUUUCUCUCUCCCUCUUCACCUCCCUUCCUUCCUCUCUUUCUUUCACAAAUAUUUCCUGGGCCCCUGUGACAAUGUCAGACACUGCUAGAUACUGUGGAUUCAGCGACCCAUGUCUUAGCUUGCGCAGAGAUGCUGCCCACUCUGUGAAGCCUGUCCUGACCCCCACCCUAGCCCCUCCCGCAGUGGGCAGUCUCCUCCCCUCCCAGAGCCUUUAUCGCCCCUGUUUGGCACUUAUCACUUUCUACCUGGGAUUGCAGCUAUUUGUGUACACGGCUUAUCUCCCUGCCAGACUGAGAGGCAACGUGGGCCUGUUGAAAGAGCGUGGACUUUGGAGCCGCAUGACCUGGCCCUCAAUCCCAACCCUGCGACUCAGAGCUGUGAGCCCUCGGGGAGCUCACAACACCUUUGGGAGCCUCAGUUUCCUUAUCUGUAAAGUGGGGAUGGUGAUAACUACUUCCAAUGUGGUUUUGAGCAACUGGUAGGAUUAGAAAUGUCAACCCCAUUUCCUGCUCCUGUCUGGACUCCCAUCCUCUUGGGGACAGAGAUUGUGUGCAAUACUUCUCUGUAGCCUCCUGGUAAUAAUAACAUAACAAUAUUAAUAACAAUGACCAACACUUACACAGCAAUACCAUACAUAAGGUAAGAGCUUACAUAUGUUAGCUCAUUCAUUCUCACAACCUUGUGGCAUUGGAAGCAUUAUUCCCAUUAACAGAUGAGCAAUCUGAGGCACAGAGGGGUUAGGUAACAAGCCCAAGGUCACACAGCUAGUGAGUGAGAGAGCUGAGAUUUGAAUCCAAGAAAAUCCACCUCAAAGCCUUAGCUAUUGAAUAGUAUGGCUUCUGGAGGGGUGUGAGUGUAUGUGCCCAUGGUUCACUGCAGCCUUUGAGCAUCCUUGCCCUGACCUGCAGGGUGGGGGUGGAGUGAUACAAGGAAGACCCUGGUCUGCGCAUUAGGACAUCCUAACAGGUGAGUGGUUAGUGCUGAAGAAAGGAGUGUCCCCAGGUAUCUGGAGGCCAGGGGACUAGAAGGUGAUAAUCAAUAAGGCAAUCAGAGGAGGCUUCCCGGAGAGGUGGCGCUUGCCACCAAAUGAGGAUGGACAAGGCAGGGCGAACAGGAGGACCAAAAUUGUAGACAUGGGAGAGGUAUAUUAGGGUUUCACCUAGGUGUCAGACUAGACAUAUUCACUGGUUCUGGUGGGUGGGAUGGAGCAGAGACUGUGAACUUGGGGAGGGGCAUGUUGGUUUCCCAGUCUGUGAUUCAAUAGGGAAUGGAGGACAUUUUCAGGGGCCUUGAGAGCCAGUGCAGGCCCAGGAGAGCUGAGAGUCACCUGUGCUGCCCUCGGGGCCAUAUUGGCAUUUUGCUUCUCUGCAAGCUACUCUGAGAUUCCAAAGUCCUGGGUUCCCGAAUUCAGCUGUGCCAGUCCCAUCCCUCCAUUUCUUCAAGCCUCAAUUUCUCCAGUUCAGAAUGGGCAUAAAGGGUGGACCUUGCAUGCCGAUUAAAGGAUGAGAUAGGGCUGUGUGGGGAUGGGCCUGACGCUCCUGGGGCAGGAAAUGGGGGAAAGGUACUGCGGGGAGGGAGAGUGGGAAGCUGGGAGAGAAGGAGGUGGUGCGAGGAGCCCUGUGUGCUUGGCCAGUGAAUCCAGGUCUGCUAAGCUGGCCCUAGCUGGGAUUCUUCCAGCACCCCAUACUGCAUUUUCCCAAGGCUGCCUGACUCUGCUGCCUCAAAGCAGUCUUCCUCCUGGGCUUCUGCAAGGAUAGUUCUGGGUUAGAUCCUGUUCCUCUGGCCAACCCAGUUGAGCCCAGCCAUGUCCCUUGGAGAGCACUCUUCAUGUUCCAAGGGCUGUUUUAAAUGCUCUUCCCUCAUACUAACUAGUUCAGUCCUCACAGCCACGCUGUGAGUUCCCUCAUUUCACAUAAGGAAACUGAGGCACAGAGAGGGUAAGCCAGGUGUUCCACAGGGUUCCACGGCAGGGAAGGCGAAGUCUAAGGGAUGGGAAUAGCCCAUGGAGCCAGGAAGGCGGGCCCAAGGGAUGGGCCUCUGAACCGCCUUCUCACCCUUUCUGUAUGGGAAAUUAUGACCAUUGUGAGUCGUCCCUCUCACACGUUUCUUUUCUGCUCAUCUCAAGGUUCUCAGGUAGCUGCAGAACCACAAUUGACAUCCCUCUGCCCAUACAGGCGCCUACAUGUCCACACACUCAACACCAUGGCUGCCCAACGUCUCAUAGGCACAAGGCUCACACUUUUGCACACACAACCAUCAAUUCAGAGCCACAAAUGCAUCUGCAGGCACCACACCCACCCUGCCGCAGAUGCACACAUAGGGCACGUGUGGGCUUUGGGCCUCAGACUGACAACCAAGCACCAACAAGUCCCAUUCCCAGAAUGACGGAUACACACCCACGCGUUCACACGGGCUCCAGUGUGCCUGACACGACAUGGUGGGGUCUGUGGACUCACAGUGCACCCCCUGGACCCAUGUCCAGGCUCCAGCCUCUGCAGAUGUCCCUUCUGCCCAGGUGCCUUCAUUCCUAUCCCUUCAAGACUACGGCUCUGGAAUGUGUGCACAGCGGAUCCGCUUCUCAUGGCAGGUCCCUGCCCUGCCGUCUUCUAAAUGACUGGACUCUUCUAUGGACCCAGUGGAGCUCAGACAAGGGUCCAGGCCCUGACACUGCCCCAGAGCAGGGGUGCCAGCACCUAUGAGGAUGCCAAGCUCAGGUCAUCGCCCUGCGGUGUCUCAGCCAACUGGGCCUCGAACAGCCCCAUAAACUUGGACAUAAACACAAUUAAAGUUUUUUAUUACAUUAUAUUUUGUACAUAUAAAAGACUAUUUGUAAGCCAUGAAACAUUACAAUGAAUGCUCAUGACUACUCUGCUGAAGAACUAGAGUAUUAGGGACACUUGUGAAGCUCCGACCUUCCCAGCCCCCUACUUCCCAGAAGGAGCCACUAUCCUAAUUGUCAUUACUCUCUGCUGUUUUUGUUUGUUUGUUUUUUAAGGAGUCUCAUUCUGUUGCCCAGGCUGGAGUGCAGUGGCGUGAUCUCGGUUCACUGAAACCUCUGCCUCCUGAGUUCAAGCGAUUCUCCUGCCUUAGCCUCCUGUGUAGUUGGGAUUACAGGUGUGCACCACCACGCCAGGCUAAUGUUUUGUAUUUUUAGUAAUGAUGAGGGUUCACCAUGUUGGCCAGGCUGGUCUCAAACUCCUGACCUCAGGUGAUCCACCCACCUCGCUUCCCAAAGUGCCGGGAUUACAGGCAUGAGCUACCACGCCCAGCCUCUCCCUGCCUCUUUUUAACAGAAAGUUUUAGCACCUGUGUGGAGACCCCUUCACUCACUGCACUUUUUUUUUUUUAAGAGGUGGGAUCUCACUCUGUCACCUACACCCGAGUGCAGUGAUGUGAUCCUGGCUCAUUAUAGCCUUGAUCUCCUGGCUCAAGCGAUCCUCCCACCUCAGCCUCCCAAAUAGCUGGGACUGCAGGUGCAUGCCACCAUGCCCAGCUAAUUUUUUUUUAAUUUUUAUGCAAAGACAGGGUCUUGCUAUGUUGCCCAGGCUGGCCUCAAACUCCUGGCCUCAAACAGUGCUCCCGUCUCAGCCUCCCAAAGUGCUGGCAUUACAAGUGUGAGCCACCACAUCCAGCUGCUAACUGCACUUUUGAGAUGUUGCAUUCUAUUCUGCACUCCCAAUUAUUCAUUCCCAGGGGAAGUGCAUUAUUUAAAGGGAUAGAGAGAGAACUUGGAGGAGCCACUUGCACCCCAUGUGCCUCUUCGCUUCAGUGCUGUGAGUGCUCUGUUUGGCCCCCUCAUUCCAGUGAGUGCCCUGAAACAGGACAUUUCUUCCUGGUACGGCCAGUAGAAGGAGGGUGGGGGCCUUCCGGCAGCUGGGCAUUCUCUGAACAUGGCAUGCUGCCUUGCAUUUGCGUAAGCCAUUCCUCCACCUGGAAUUCCCUUCGCUAGACUGUUGUGGGAACCCAGUUCCUUCUUCCAGGUCCAACUCCAAGGUUUCGUUCUGGAGAUGCCUUCCCUGUGACCCCUUGCCCCUCUCCCCCAGCAGAGCUGGAUCUGUCCUCUUCUCCCCUGACAGAGUUUUGGGCAUCCUUCUAUCAGCCCUUAUCCCAGGGCAGGAAGAACAGCCUUGAUCCUGGAUCCCAGGCACAGCUGGGUGUCAGACCUGGAGGAGAAGCUCCCAGAGUGACCAAGAUAGAAUCGGCAUGCAGGUGACAGCAGAUGGGCAUCCCUGUGAAACCCCAUGGGCCUGGACCUCCAGGGUCCUAGCCAGUUUGCUCCAAGUUCUGUGUGGACUGGGGAUUUGGAGGCAAGUCUGUGGGGAGACUGCCUGGGGCUUGUGCCUGCUGUUUACCUGUCUGCUGUUCAGGCACAUGAUCAGGCCAGUGGGUGUGCCCAAAGGUGGGCGUGGUUGCAGGAGUGCUCACGUUCAUACACGUGUUUACACACACGUGUGCAUACACGGGGUGCCAAGGCUAUAGGUCUUGCGAAGCAUGCAGGGCCACUGCCUUUUCCUGCUUUUAACCCCCCUCCUGGACAGGCCUGUGUUCUCUCUGAACAUCUCACAGUGCACAUUUAUGGAGUGCCUGCUGUGUGCAAGACCUGAGGGGUUGGGGCAGAGCAGUGCGCAGGGCAGCUGGCCCCUAGGGGACAGGAAUGACUGAGCACUCACACAGUGUCUUUCUGUCCUGGUCCCCCUGCACAGGAGCCCCCAAGGCCAGGCACCCCCGCCUCUACUUCCCAGAGGAGGACUUUGAGGUCCUGAUGCCUGAGAGGGGCACCUGUUGAGUCAACAGAGGGGACGGACAAUGAGACCAGCAGUCCGGUGCUCAAUUCUCCAUCCUAAGUGCCAGAAACCCCUACUUCAAGAGAAAACUGGCAUUGACAGGGCCCACCCAGAAUCCUCUCCUGCACCCUCCUUUCCCCUACUGGAAACCACACUUUUUGGGGGGCAUUUCCCUGGGCAUCCUGUAGGAGGGCAUCACAGCUGUUAGCAGCAGGAGGAAUUAAGGGAAGCUCUGACCUGAGUUAGACUGGACCGUGUAGGACAGCACUACCCCAUGUCUGAACUGGGGACCGGGCCACCCCUCCCCCAACACACAUACCACACACACGCAUGCACACAUACACACAUACACACACAUGCACACAUGCCCAGAGAGGUGAUGGGAGUUGCCUAAGGAUGCCCAUGGCGAGUGCUGGCCCUCUCCCUCCCAGACCCAGUUUGUUCCUUUAACUCAGGCUGCCCACUUUCCUGUCUCUUCUUGCCCUCCCCGCCCCCCGCCCCCCGAGUCUGAGAAUUAGGACCCUGGUGGCUGAGGAGGAUGAUCUGAGGCAUGAUCAGGUGCUCCCUUCUGGGCCACUAUUGGCCCACCCUUAAGGUGGCAGGAUGACAUGGAGUUUCGGCCAGCGUGAAUAUAGGGGCUGGAGGAUCCCUGUCUUUCCUUGCCUGGCACCCAAAUGCAACCUGGAAGACCCUGAGUGAAGGCCCCUUUCUGGGAAGAGGAUGGCAUUAUGGCAUGGCCAUUAGAAUCUUUGGCUAUGGACACUGUGACAGCCCAGGGCAGAAUCCAGGAUUCCUCACUUCUAGCUGUGGGCUGUGGGCAGGAGGCUUCAUCCUGCUGAAUCUUAGUCCCUAACCUGUACCGAAAAGAUGAACAUACUUCAUGAUGUUUGGAGAGGGAGGCAUUGUCUCGGAUCAGGGCCCAGGAAAUGGCAGUUGGGGUGGUCAGUGCUUAUUCUUGUAAGCAAGAAUGUGUGGCCAAGCCAAGUUGUGUCCAGAACACCUGGACCCACAGGAUUUGGGCCUGCCUCGUGGCCCCAGGAUUUCGAACCCAAAUUCCAGUCCUGACAUUGCCUCACCAGCUGGUUGGCCUUGGGCAUGUCCCUGGCUGCCUCUGGCUGCAACAGCCUCAGCCCCAAAUGAGCACAUCAAUCCCAGGGUCACAUGGAGGACAGAAUAACCAAUGAGACAUCAGAAGGGCCUUGCAAAUCACAAGGCUUGUGUCCCUUUUGGGGAUGCUGGAGGGAGGAACAGGUACCUACCAACUCUCAGUGGGUCCCUUGUGCACUCACACCCAGCGUUCUGGCCUCCAGUCAGGCUGAGAGGUGCACUUCCCCCAUACAGGGGAGAGCUGCACUCAUUUGGGGACCCUCUCCCGAGCCCUGCCCCUGCCCUCCCCGCCAGGCCCCCAGCAGCCAGGUUGGAGAGCUCUCACUCAGGGAGUCUGAGUCCCCUUUGAAGCUGGGAAGUUUGCACUGGAGGGGCAAAGGCAGCCUGCAUUCAAAGCAUCUCUCCUGGCCCUUAAUUACCCUUCUUCACCCAUAGGUGGAAUUUCCACUCAAAGAGCUAAGAAAUGCACCCGUGCUGCCGCCAGGGACUGGGUUUCCCUGCUGCCUUUGUGUAGCAGCCGCCAGCGCGGCAGUGGCACACAGCUCGGGUUUCUGAUUUUAAUGAUUUCCUGAAUUCAUUCCGUUUCCUACCUCAGGGAAAGGAGAAGAGGUGAUCCUCUUGGAAAUUCACAUAAUUGCUUUUAUUUGAUUUUUAUUAAAAUGCAUUCAGGAAUAAUGUGAUUGCCCCCUUUAUUAGAUUGUUCAUCAAGCUGGCAUGGGGAAUCAGCCUAGAAAAAAGUGGUGGGCACAGGAGCCUGGUGUGUGAUGGGGAGCGGGCACAGUCCCGCGGCGGCCUUGGGGGCUUGCCUCUCACUGGGGGAGUCACGCCUGCCUCUGAGCCUCCCGCUGCUCCUGUCUGGGGAGGUGGGCCCACUGCAGGGCGUGUUGGAAGAAUGAAAGCUGGCAGUCAGUGUGGAAGGCCGUGAGCACCGUCUAAAUCCCCUCCACAUCCCAACCCACUCCUCCUCUGUUGCUCCUCUGCCCACCUCUGAGGCCACACACAGGCUGACACGGAGACCCGUGGUGAUCUGGCAUAGCAGCACUGACCCCACACUCGCCUCCGCACUCCCAGUUGCCUGUACUUCUACGAUGGCCUUUUUGCCAGUCUUGCUGUCCUCAGGCUCAAGGUCCUCAGUGCAGUUUUCUGUGGCCCACCUAAUCACACCACUCCCCUGUUCAGAAACUUGGUGGCUCCCAAAGACCCCUUUCUUGCCGGAGACUUUUGCUUUGGGUUCCUUUGCACGCGCUGGAAGGUGAAAAUAAUCCAGACCUCUUAGACCUAGUUUCAGUGCUUGAAUUGCUUUGCAUGGUGGGAUGUGGGUGAAGCUGCCUUGCCUCUCCUAGUCUCAGUUUAUUGGUUCAAAUAAUGGGAACUCCAAGACCUUCCGUAGGGUCAGUGAGAAAAUGGAGUACAGGGGGUCUGUAACUCAGGCGGCAUGUACGUGUGUGGGUGAAAUCGUGCCACGUGACCCUGUGUUGCAGGAGGCUGAAGAUGCUUAGCAAAUAUGUGGGGAGAAGGCAGGGCAGGUCCAGCGCUGGCCCCAGCAGAGGCCACAGACCAGCUGAGCAGCCACUGUGACAGGGACAGUUUUAUUCUGAGCACCCCUACUCCCAUUUUCUGUAGCCCCUCCCCUCCUCCCAAUGCAAGAGUGGAGCUGACUUUCACUGCGCUCAGUGAAUUUGCCUCUCACCUUCUGGGGGGUUUUGCAGUUUCCAGAAGAGGGGCACAAAUAUGUUCACUGGGCUUCCAGGAAGUGCCUCACCCUCUGAGCUCACCAUGUCUCCAGACUGCCCAAGGCAUGUUUUAUUACCCUUGAGAUAUGGUGAAAUACAUAUUUGUUUCCCCCUCCUCCCAUCCCAUUUCCUGGCAUAGGACUCCUAAAAUCCUUGGACUCUCCAAAGUGAUAAGUUUCUUUUUGUAUGCUAAUGAGUUGAUUGCUGGCUGGCUGCUCCUAGGACACUUCAGGAUGUGGGCUGGUCACCAGAAAGACCAAGGAUUAGAGGGUUGGGGCUUCCAGCCCCACCUCCCCCAUCUGGGGGUGGGUGGGGAGAAGGGCUGAAGGUUGAGUUGAUCACCAAUGGCCAAUGUUUUAAUCAAUCAUGACUACAUAAUGACAUCGCCAUAAAAACGCAACAAAUCUGGGUUCCGGGAGCCUCCAGACAGCUGAACGUUUGGAGGCACUUGGAAGGUGGCACUCCAAGAGAGGGCAUGGGAGCACCCCUUCCGGACCUCGCCCUGUGCCUCUCUUCAUCUGGAUGUUUAUUUGUAUCCUUUAAAAUAUCUUUUGUUAUAAACCAGUAAACAUUUUUCCAAGAGUUCUGUGAGCCGCUCGGGCAAAUUAAUCAGACCCAAGCAGGGGGUUGUGGGAACCCCGAUUCAUAGACGAACGGUCAGAAGCACAGGCAGAAUAACCUGGGGUUUGCGGUGGGCAUCAGAAGUGGGGCUCAGAGUUAGGGGACUGAAUCCUCACCCUGUGGGAUCUGAUGCUAUCUCCAGGUGGAUGGUGUUUGAAGUGAAUUGAAUUAGGGGACACCCAGCUGGCAUCUGCUGCAGAACUGAUGACUCGCUUGCUGGUGGGCAGAAAUCUCCAUAAUCUUUCUUUAGCAGAUGAGGUCACUGAGGCUCAGAGAGGGUAAGUGACUUGUUUAGGGCUGUCUAGCUAGGAUGUGGAGGCUUGGGGACAAGGCCUCUUGGGCACAUACAACUAGGAUGGGCAGGUGACUCCCUGCCACCAGGGGAGUUGGUGAAAUGCUUCGCAGGGCUGAGGUUGAGCAAGUGGGCAGUGCCUGGAGAAGCCAAUCUGCAUCCUUGGUGUGGGUAGGCCUUGAGGGUAUUUGAAGCAGGCCCUCUGCCUGGGGCGGUCUGCCCCUGCUGGCUGGGCUGCACAGAGAGUCAGGGAGGCAUGGGAGCAUAGCCAUCCACUUUCAGAGCCCCAUCU
rnacentral:lncRNA from 1 species